UGGAAAAUCCAUUUAAUUAUUAUCUCUUAGGGGUUUUUGUUUCUCCUCCCUCUGAAAAAGUGUUGGUCAACGGCUCCCUGUGAUGAUCAGUGGUCCCUCUGAUGAGAGCUUAUAUUUGUUUAGGUAUAUGUAAGGCCAUAGUGGUGAAGUACAUUGUGAUCAUAGUUUAGAUAGGAAAAUGAAAUGAGAGUGGCUCAAGAAUGAGUCGAUGAUUCACAGCGAUAGUCGUGGAUCCUUUCUGCCCUCAAUGGAU
rnacentral:lncRNA from 1 species